rnacentral:tRNA from 1 species
AGGGAAUUAGUAUAAUUUUGUAUGUCCGACUUGCAUUCGGAGGGUUUAUAUUCUCUA